CGGGGGUGCGUGUUUGGGAUGCUUCGCUGGGUAUAUAAGCACUGGAAAGGUGGACUCGCGUCCUGACCAGAGCUUCCCCCUCCCUCAGCCAGCCCCCCCCCAGCCCUGCCUUGUGUAUCCCCCCGCUAAGCCUGACCCCUCAGCCCGGGCUGACCCCCGCGGGGGGGUGAAUGUGAAAAGAGGAGGAGGAGAGCGAAGAAGGGGUGGGGGGGCGGCAGGCACUUGUGCCGGCGCAGCCUCUCGCAUCAAGUGAGGACUAAUCCCAUCCCUGGGCCUGCUCUCUGUUCCCUUCCUGCAUUAGAGAUUGGCUAUAAGGAGAAGGCUGACGGCUGCAGCAUGAAGCGCAUUAUUACCUUGUGAUUCCAUGACCCUCCUCUAUGCAUCCCUAACUCUCGAAAGCUGAUUCAGCUUUCAGCUAGUGCUCUGGUGAGUCCUCUGCUGCAACAGAAGCUCCUAACUGAUGGGAGAGUGAGACUGAGCUAACUGAGGUGCUCCCAUCCUUAUCCCGGUAGGAAUUCCGAGGGGAGAAGACUACUGAAAGAUGCCUGUGGGUCAUCCUGCAAAUCCUCUGACCUCGGGAAGGGAGCAGGCUGAAAUGACCCUGAUGGUGACGCAGAGCUGUGGGUGCCACGCAUUGCUCAGACUCUGCAGGACCAGACCUACAGCUGCUGCACUAAAUUUCAAUGUCUUCUCUUCAGAUGAUGAUGAAAGGAAGGCUGCCCUGUCUGUGCAUCACCUAACAGGAAAGACCUCAGGACAAAGAGCUCAGACCCUCCAGAAAUCUUUCAGAGAGAAGCUCCAGCUCUCCCUUAUCUCUUUUAAAGUUAACACAUCACACUUUGUACAUGCUCAGCAACAAAGUUCCUAAUGUUGUUUCCCGAUAACCCAGAGGCCCGGGACAGCAAUGCUGUUGCUGUUUCAUAGAGGGCGAGAGCGGGACACUUGCUCCCCUGGCUGCCGACAAUCAGCACUUUGUGAACAUCCCACACUAGAGGUUUGCACAGAG
rnacentral:lncRNA from 1 species